rnacentral:rRNA from 1 species
AUUGAACGCUGGCGGCAUGCCUUACACAUGCAAGUCGAACGGCAGCACGGGAGCAAUCCUGGUGGCGAGUGGCGAACGGGUGAGUAAUAUAUCGGAACGUGCCCGGUCGUGGGGAUAACGUAGCGAAAGCUACGCUAAUACCGCAUACGAUCUACGGAUGAAAGCGGGGGAUCGCAAGACCUCGCGCGAUUGGAGCGGCCGAUAUCAGAUUAGGUAGUUGGUGAGGUAAAGGCUCACCAAGCCGACGAUCUGUAGCUGGUCUGAGAGGACGACCAGCCACACUGGACUGAGACACGGCCCAGACUCCUACGGAGGCAGCAGUGGGGAAUUUUGGACAAUGGGCGCAAGCCUGAUCCAGCAAUGCCGCGUGCAGGAUGAAGGCCUUCGGGUUGGUUAAACGUU